rnacentral:rRNA from 1 species
AUGCUCUCAGAGGCCGCCGCCGCCAACUGCCACCGCUCCAUCUUCAGAACUGUACUGAUGCAUCAACCUUGCUCGGUCAAGCUAUCAUCGACGCCACCACGGCGCCCAACGGCACCUCCUCCCUGCGCGCAAAUAGCUGAGCACGUCGCGGUCGCCACUGAUACACCUCAGCGCCAUGCUGCCAAGUAUCAGCAGCCGACACAGCUUGAAGUCCUUGGAAGAUCUGUCGUGCGUAGCACCUGCCGACCAGGCAUGACAAAGUGUAGCACCUGUCGGUCAGGCAUGACAAAGCGUAGCAGCUGUCGGUCAGGCAUGACUUGA